rnacentral:rRNA from 1 species
UACGUAGGGCGCAAGCGUUGUCCGGAAUUAUUGGGCGUAAAGAGCUCGUAGGCGGCUUGUCACGUCGGGUGUGAAAGCCCGGGGCUUAACCCCGGGUCUGCAUUCGAUACGGGCUAGCUAGAGUGUGGUAGGGGAGAUCGGAAUUCCUGGUGUAGCGGUGAAAUGCGCAGAUAUCAGGAGGAACACCGGUGGCGAAGGCGGAUCUCUGGGCAUUACCUGACGCUGAGGAGCGAAAGUGUGGGGAGCGAACAGG